GGGGUUGUGGCUAAGUAGUAGAGCACUUGCUUAGCAUGUAUGAGGCACUGGGUUCAAUCCCCAGUACCA
rnacentral:tRNA from 1 species